UACGUAGGGUGCGAGCGUUGUCCGGAAUUACUGGGCGUAAAGAGCUCGUAGGUGGUUUGUCGCGUUGUUCGUGAAAACUCACAGCUUAACUGUGGGCGUGCGGGCGAUACGGGCAGACUGGAGUACUGCAGGGGAGACUGGAAUUCCUGGUGUAGCGGUGGAAUGCGCAGAUAUCAGGAGGAACACCGGUGGCGAAGGCGGGUCUCUGGGCAGUAACUGACGCUGAGGAGCGAAGGCGUGGGAGCGAACAGG
rnacentral:rRNA from 1 species